CCUACGGGAGGCAGCAGUGGGGAAUUUUGGACAAUGGGCGCAAGCCUGAUCCAGCAAUGCCGCGUGUGUGAAGAAGGCCUUCGGGUUGUAAAGCACUUUUGUCCGGAAAGAAAUCAUUCUGGCUAAUACCCGGAGUGGAUGACGGUACCGGAAGAAUAAGCACCGGCUAACUACGUGCCAGCAGCCGCGGUAAUACGUAGGGUGCGAGCGUUAAUCGGAAUUACUGGGCGUAAAGCGUGCGCAGGCGGUUUGCUAAGACCGAUGUGAAAUCCCCGGGCUCAACCUGGGAACUGCAUUGGUGACUGGCAGGCUAGAGUAUGGCAGAGGGGGGUAGAAUUCCACGUGUAGCAGUGAAAUGCGUAGAGAUGUGGAGGAAUACCGAUGGCGAAGGCAGCCCCCUGGGCCAAUACUGACGCUCAUGCACGAAAGCGUGGGGAGCAAACAGGAUUAGAUACCCUGGNAGUCCACGCCCUAAACGAUGUCAACUAGUUGUUGGGGAUUCAUUUCCUUAGUAACGUAGCUAACGCGUGAAGUUGACCGCCUGGGGAGUACGGUCGCAAGAUUAAAACUCAAAGGAAUUGACGGGGACCCGCACAAGCGGUGGAUGAUGUGGAUUAAUUCGA
rnacentral:rRNA from 1 species